UACGAAGGGGGCUAGCGUUGCUCGGAAUCACUGGGCGUAAAGGGUGCGUAGGCGGGUCUUUAAGUCAGGGGUGAAAUCCCAAGGCUCAACCUUGGAACUGCCUUUGAUACUGGGGAUCUCGAGUCCGGAAGAGGUGAGUGGAACUGCGAGUGUAGAGGUGAAAUUCGUAGAUAUUCGCAAGAACACCAGUGGCGAAGGCGGCUCACUGGUCCGGUACUGACGCUGAGGUGCGAAAGCGUGGGGAGCAAACAGG
rnacentral:rRNA from 1 species